rnacentral:rRNA from 1 species
CCUACGGGUGGCAGCAGUGGGGAAUAUUGGACAAUGGGCGAAAGCCUGAUCCAGCCAUGCCGCGUGUGUGAAGAAGGCCUUCGGGUUGUAAAGCACUUUCAGUGGGGAAGAAAGCCUUGGGGCUAAUACCCUCGAGGAAGGACAUCACCCACAGAAGAAGCACCGGCUAACUCCGUGCCAGCAGCCGCGGUAAUACGGAGGGUGCGAGCGUUAAUCGGAAUUACUGGGCGUAAAGCGCGCGUAGGCGGUCUGAUAAGCCGGUUGUGAAAGCCCCGGGCUCAACCUGGGAACGGCAUCCGGAACUGUCAGGCUAGAGUGCAGGAGAGGAAGAUAGAAUUCCCGGUGUAGCGGUGAAAUGCGUAGAGAUCGGGAGGAAUACCAGUGGCGAAGGCGGCCUUCUGGACUGACACUGACGCUGAGGUGCGAAAGCGUGGGUAGCAAACAGGAUUAGAUACCCCGGUAGUC